CACUCUAGAGAGACUGCCAGGGAUAACCUGGAGGAAGGUGGGGAUGACGUCAAAUCAUCAUGCCCCUUAUGCUUAGGGCUACACACGUGCUACAAUGGGUAGUACAGAGGGUUGCCAAGCCGUAAGGUGGAGCUAAUCCCUUAAAGCUACUCUUAGUUCGGAUUGUAGGCUGAAACUCGCCUACAUGAAGCUGGAGUUACUAGUAAUCGCAGAUCAGAAUGCUGCGGUGAAUGCGUUCCCGGGUCUUGUACACACCGCCCGUCACACCACGGGAGUUGGAGACGCCCGAAGCCGAUUAUCUAACCUUUUGGAAGAAGUCGUCGAAGGUGGAAUCAAUAACUGGGGUGAAGUCGUAACAAGGUAGCCGUAUCGGAAGGUGCGGCUGGAUCACCUCCUUUCUAAGGAGA
rnacentral:rRNA from 1 species